ACCAUGCAGUCGAGCGGGGGAGAUUGCUUCGGUAAUUGACCUAGCGGCGGACGGGUGAGUAAUACUUAGGAAUCUGCCUAUUAAUGGGGGACAACAUCUCGAAAGGGAUGCUAAUACCGCAUACGCCCUACGGGGGAAAGCAGGGGAUCACUUGUGACCUUGCGUUAAUAGAUGAGCCUAAGUCGGAUUAGCUAGUUGGUGGGGUAAAGGCCUACCAAGGCGACGAUCUGUAGCGGGUCUGAGAGGAUGAUCCGCCACACUGGGACUGAGACACGGCCCAGACUCCUACGGGAGGCAGCAGUGGGGAAUAUUGGACAAUGGGGGGAACCCUGAUCCAGCCAUGCCGCGUGUGUGAAGAAGGCCUUAUGGUUGUAAAGCACUUUAAGCGAGGAGGAGGCUCUCUUGGUUAAUACCCAAGAUGAGUGGACGUUACUCGCAGAAUAAGCACCGGCUAACUCUGUGCCAGCAGCCGCGGUAAUACAGAGGGUGCGAGCGUUAAUCGGAUUUACUGGGCGUAAAGCGUGCGUAGGCGGCUUUUUAAGUCGGAUGUGAAAUCCCCGAGCUUAACUUGGGAAUUGCAUUCGAUACUGGGAAGCUAGAGUAUGGGAGAGGAUGGUAGAAUUCCAGGUGUAGCGGCGAUAUG
rnacentral:rRNA from 1 species